rnacentral:rRNA from 1 species
CAACAGCGUAUAUUAAAGUUGUUGCAGUUAAAACGCUCGUAGUCGGAUUUCGGGGCGAGCGGGCCGGUCUGCCGAUGGGUAUGCACUGGUCUGGCCGUCCUUCCUUCCGGAGACCGUGCGUGCUCUUAACUGAGUGCGCUCGGGAGACGGAUCGUUUACUUUGAAAAAAUCAGAGUGUUUCAAGCAGGCAGCUCGCUCUUGCAUGGAUUAGCAUGGGAUAAUGAAAUAGGACUUUGGUGCUAUUUUGUUGGUUUCGAACACCGAAGUAAUGAUUAACAGGGACAGUCAGGGGCACUCGUAUUCCGCCGAGAGAGGUGAAAUUCUCAGACCAGCGGAAGACGAACCACUGCGAAAGCAUUUGCCAGGGAUGUUUNCACUGA